AUGCGUUGUUGGGUAGGGGAGCGUUCUGUAAGCCUGUGAAGGUGUGCUGUGAGGCAUGCUGGAGGUAUCAGAAGUGCGAAUGCUGACAUAAGUAACGAUAAAGCGGGUGAAAAGCCCGCUCGCCGGAAGACCAAGGGUUCCUGUCCAACGUUAAUCGGGGCAGGGUGAGUCGACCCCUAAGGCGAGGCCGAAAGGCGUAGUCGAUGGGAAACAGGUUAAUAUUCCUGUACUUGGUGUUACUGCGAAGGGGGGACGGAGAAGGCUAUGUUGGCCGGGCGACGGUUGUCCCGGUUUAAGCGUGUAGGCUGGUUUUCCAGGCAAAUCCGGAAAAUCAAGGCUGAGGCGUGAUGACGAGGCACUACGGUGCUGAAGCAACAAAUGCCCUGCUUCCAGGAAAAGCCUCUAAGCAUCAGGUAACAUCAAAUCGUACCCCAAACCGACACAGGUGGUCAGGUAGAGAAUACCAAGGCGCUUGAGAGAACUCGGGUGAAGGAACUAGGCAAAAUGGUGCCGUAACUUCGGGAGAAGGCACGCUGAUAUGUAGGUGAAGUCCCUCGCGGAUGGAGCUGAAAUCAGUCGAAGAUACCAGCUGGCUGCAACUGUUUAUUAAAAACACAGCACUGUGCAAACACGAAAGUGGACGUAUACGGUGUGACGCCUGCCCGGUG
rnacentral:rRNA from 1 species